UGUUCUAUGGCCGAACUGGUAAAAGGCAUUGCCGAUCACAGGCAAGGUUGCGAGUUCGAGUCCCACUGGAACGG
rnacentral:tRNA from 1 species